AGGUUCUGAAUUUUGUCUCAUUGCCAAAGACCUAUCAAUACCCCCAUGAAGAACUUACAGAUUGUUGGAGUGGAAAGGUUCAUCAUGAAAUAUACAUAUUCAUGACUCAGACCGUUGAAUUUCUGCAAGUAUAACCACAAAUUCCUUGAGAUAGAGCAACCUUAAUAAGCUAAUCUUAAAUACAGUUGAGUUCAAUAAAAUCAAAAUGUAAUAUAAUGGUCCAAGGUUCCAUGUCAGCUAAAAAAAAAACAUCUAGAAAGACUACUGAGAAAGCGACAGAGCAUUGACUACGGUUGCAAAACAAGGUACUUCUAAAUUCCUCUC